rnacentral:rRNA from 1 species
UACAGAGGUCCCGAGCGUUGUUCGGAUUCAUUGGGCGUAAAGGGUGCGUAGGCGGCGAGGUAAGUUUGAUGUGAAAUCCCGGGGCUCAACCCUGGAAUUGCAUUGAAUACUACCUUGCUAGAGUACCGGAGAGGAAACUGGAAUUUACGGUGUAGCAGUGAAAUGCGUAGAGAUCGUAAGGAAGACCAGUGGCGAAGGCGAGUUUCUGGACGGUAACUGACGCUGAGGCACGAAGGCCAGGGGAGCAAACGGG